UUUAAAUUUAUUUUUGAUUAUGAAUUAUGUGUUUUAUACUUGCAUACUAUAUUUUUAACUGGUUUCGAAACUUUUGAGAAAAAAUGACCAAAAUGCCCCUGUGAGACAGAAAUCAUUUUUUAUUGAUUUCAGUUGGAAAUAGCUUAAAUUAUUUUAGAACAUGAUAUUUGGUAACGGUUGCUCACCGGGGAAAAAAAAACUGAUAUUAAAGCCUUGCGGGAUUCCGGUUGACAAUCUAGGUAAUGAGUAUCGAUCGGGACAACGCGGCGGUUGUCACGGGCUCGAUGGGAGUUUCGGGUCGUGAUAAUUUUUUUCUCUACAUUGAUGGAAAAUAGAAAUCGUUAACUUAUGGGUUAUUUAUGAAUUACGUGAUACUUAUAAAUUAUUUGUAAAACUCUUUUUUUAUGGUUUAUUAUUAAUUAUAAACUUUAUGUUAUAUAAAAAUUACUUUUAUAUUUUCAAAAAUUUAUUUUGAA
rnacentral:lncRNA from 1 species